UUUAUUGAUUAUAACAUCGCAACAUCGAAAAGUAUUUUCGUUAAAAUGGUUAUAGUAAUUUACCGUUUUGUUUACUACGAAGGUUAUUUCUAUAAAAAUUAAAUAGUGCUCCGCAGCCGUAAGAUUUUAUAAACGUUUUACCCAAUAAUUAAGAUUAGUUUUAUAUUUGUAUUUGUUAAAGCUAGUUUGAUGUGUUGCCCUUUUUAUACCGGUAAUUUUCUUUAACACGUGAGAAAUUAUUUGGAAUAUAUAUUGAAUUGCCAAGAUGAGCUGUUUUGCAGUAUAUCAAAUUAUGGAAUCAAUGUGUACUUUUUUGAACGUGAUGCAGUGGGGUGUUUUUCUGGCCCAGUCCCAAGUGCAUCGUGCAGCCUUGGUCCCGCCUAACUGGCAUCUACUUUCGCCGGCUGACGAAAACCAGGCGUGCGCUUUCUCGAACUUGAGCUGUAGCCUUUAAGCAACCCAAGAUUUAUGAUAUCCACUGGCGCUAUUAAAGAUUGCUGUGCUAGACUACGUGGACAAGUCUGGCCGCCAAAUGGCUAAAAAAUCCUAAGAACACUUUCUCAAAAACAGCGUCUUACAUUGUGCGUACCAUAAAUCUCACUAACUCUUGCAUGCCGAAAGUUCUUCUCCUGGCGCUUUGUUAGCCGCUACAAGGAAUGCUUCUACGUUUUUGGACCGACGUGACAGCAUGAGAUUCUAAACUAGUCUUGACCGAUGUCACCUUACAAAUGUCUAACUGACUCUGAAAUGGUGUGAGUAAAAAUUAACAGGUUUAUAUACAGUGACUCGCAACCAAAAUUGUACAUCAUGCAAAACAAUAUGUUUCAUGUUGUAAAAAACUUUGGGGUUAACUUGGAAAGAAAGUGCAACGAAUACAUAUUGUCAAUGUAUCUAUAUUUAUUAUGUAGCAAUAACAAACGAAACUAACCUUUGUAAGUACAAAAAAAAUAAAGUUACUACAUUUGGUCUAUACAGUGUCUCACAGCUAAAAUCGUACACGUAUAAAAAAUAUUAAUAAGUUAAAACUAAUCUUACUUUGAAUUUAAAAUUAAUAUUUUGUAGGGUAGUCUGGACUACAUUCUACGGCUCUUAAUUUGUUUGGCAACAAUCUCACAACUUUUUCAGUAACAUCAGAUUCAAUAUUAUUCUAUUCUUCUAUUAAUGUUUUUAUUUGAAAUUGUGUGUUUUCGUAUUCUUACUUCUAACUCGUUCCAAAUAUUUUCUAUAAACUUUAAAGAUUUCCAAAAUGCCUAGUUUUUCAGCACUGUUUUUUUUAAAUUCUUUUUUUUUAAGGUAUGUAAACAAUCAUACUCAUUCAUAUUUUCGUUGAUAAAUUCCAAAUUACCAACAUCAGCAGCUGAUACACAAUCCCUGACCAUUAACAGUGGGAUAUAAAUUUUGUAUUUUAAAUUCCUGAUUUGGUUUGCGCCAUGCAUUAACUGUACCAUCGGAUUGAAAAAAAUUAAAUUUACUUUCGUCAGUAAAUAUUACUCCCUUCCAUAAAUUAAAUUAAAAUCUUUAUUUAAAAAUUGUUCUGCAAACUCCAGCCCCUUUUGCUUAUUUUUUGAUUAAUAAACGGUUUGUUCCGAGCUAUUCUACCGUGAAAAGUAUUCUUCCGCAAAACUCUCCUAAUUUUUUCUAGAUUAAUAUGUGUUUCCAAAUAUUUGUCCAUCUCAUUUGUUAUUUGAGGUGCAGAAAGUACGUUGACCGCAUGUACGAAAGAACAGUAUAACGUCGUACAAUAUACUGAAUGGUACUUGCACUUUUUCCAGUUAUUUUAGAAAUUUCUCGGUAGUUUUUGCCACUAUCAAAACACUUUAAAACGAUCUGCUGCAUUUUUACCGAUGUUUGCUUCAUUUUUACUAUUUUUUUUGCUGUAUUUUCUGAGUAUAACAAUAUGCGACUUUACUGAAAGGCCGUAACAAUUUAGCAUUCUUUUGUUUAAAAUUAUUCAUUUGUUUUCGGGGAUUCCUUGGUAGGAGUACCAACAAAAUGUAUACUGUACGAUUUUAACUGUGAGGUAUUUUAUAGACUAAAUAUUUAGUAAUAUAUAGUAACUUUAUUUUUUUAUAUAUUUACGAAGGUUAAUAUCGUUUCAUAUUACUACACAAUAAAUGUGGAUAUAUUAACAAUAUAUAUUCAUUAUAUUUUCUUCUCCAAGUUAACUCUAAAUUUUUUUUCAAUAUGAAACAUUUUUUUGUGUGGUGUAAGGUUUUGAUUGUGAGUCACUGUACCUCAAAAAAGAGGUAGAGCCGGCUGUAUGGAGUAUUGGUACGGUUAUGUUGAGUAACAUUCCAGAUGCUCUAGUUUCCAGUGAAACCAAACAAUAGCUCGGGUUAUUUAGAUGAAGGGUUACGAGAGGUUAUUUAGGGCGAUCCCUGCCAGAGAUUGAAGGACAUUGCAUGAAAAAAUAUUUUUCGUAGGUAACAGGACACUAAUGGUAUUAGAUCUUAUUUUUUUUCUUAUUUCUGCCUACCGUAACUCUGUCGAAUUUAAAUUGUGCCUGUUCAGCGUUAUUCUUAAAACGUUAAUUUUACCUGGUUUUAAAUUUUCAUUUAUUUUAUUUUUUCUAUUAUUUGAAAUAGUUGGUAUUUUCUCAUCCUAUUAUUAUAUGUAACAUUAUUUUUUAUUAGUUAAUAAGUUAUAGCAGCUUUUUUGGCAUGUGUAGUAGGUAUUUUAUCUAUCUGCACCGAGUGAUAUGGUGUAUUAUCCAUCACUAUAAAGUUUUCGGGAUGUUUGCUAUAAAUUUUUCUUGUAAAACAACACGUUUGGGCGUAAAAUAAUAAUGUGAUAAAACUCUAUUUGAACAGUACUGUCUUUA